GGGGUCAACGCGAGCUUACCAAGGGGAUUUUGGAGGCCCGAGGAAGGCUUGGAGGUGGUCGGCCACGUGAUCUAGCGGACGAUUGGGCCCUGCACAUGUUCGGCAUCGGUUAGAGAAGAACAGGGGACAAAAGAGAGCAAAAGGAGUAGCGUGACAGCUUCAUAACCAAGUUGCGGUGCUCGGCAAGUCCUCGAUUUCACUAGAACGGCUACGAGUUACGAUUUCCAUGACGACGUUUGUGUAGAGCUCAUCUGUGAGAUUUAAAUCGGCUUCAAAGGCGGCUAGGGCUUCUCCAGCAUCGCUUGGACGGCUAAAAAGGGUGCGGGGGAGGGCACCUGGGACCUAUAGGAGCAAAGGAACUUUCCCACGGCAAAUCCCGUAUAAAUCGGGAAGGAAAACAUGGCCUGAGCUCGAGUCCGGCUCGACCACGCGAGGAAGAAAGGGGAAAGGGGGAGGGUGUCGCUGACGUGUGGGUCCGGAGGGUCAGUGACAGGGAAAAGCGGGACCCGGCUGUCAGCGAAAAGAAAGAGAGAGAGGGGGAAGCCGGGUGGUGUGGUGCGGCCUGUGCCCUGGAGUUGGGCCGGGCGCUGGCUUCCAGCUGGGCCAGAGGGGAGAGGAAGGGGUUGGGCCUUCGGCCUAGAAAGCAGAGGAGAAAGUUGUUUUCCUUUUUCUUUUGUUUGUCUUUUUUUUCUUUUAUUUUAAACCAUUUUCAAAUCAAUUUGAAACAAUUUUGAACUUUGCUCAAAGUCACACAGUACAAAAAUAUAAAUGUUCCAGCAUGAGUGCACAUACAUGUUACUAAAUUCUAUGAUAAGUUUUAUUUUAAUGACAAAUACUAUUUUCCUAUGUUUUAUGAGCACAACAAUACAAAAUUAAAUUAAUUUAGCUUUAUUUCCAAAGGACAAAUUUUAGGGUGUUACAAUUUUAUCCCCUUAAAAUGAAUCUCAUCCUCGAGAUUCGGAAGAGGCUCGGAUUCCAAAAGAGAGAUAGGAACAAGAUCUUUAAAUAUUCUUUCAUCUUCACAACUUGCAUACCACAGGAAAACACUUAUGUCUCAUAGUCAUAACUCAUGAACAAAUUUUUCGUAGAAUAUCUUUUACUCAUCAUUGAUCAGUCCAUCUUGACUACUAACUUUUUGACUUAUACAACUCAAAGAUAUGAUAACUUUGCAUGGAUAUGACUCCUCAGGUAGGAGUGGACCACCUUGAUACUCAAUUCUUUUCCCUGAUGGUGCGGUUAAGAAAAUUUUUCACUGGGUAGCAUAGAUCACUCCUUUGUGUGCACAUAACCAUCCAUUGCCAAGAACCAAAGGAAUGUUGAGUGACUCUAGCACAAUGAGGUUUACUGUGAAGUUUUCCUUGCUUAUGACCAGAUUGAUAUUCGAGCAAACUUGAUCUGCCUGUAUUUCUCCCAUUGGGGUUUGAACUAACAAAGGCUUCCUCGUCGGACACUUCACCCGUUCAAUUGUCUUUACCAAGUCGGCGGAAAUGAAAGAAUGUGAAGCACUUCGGUCAAACAAAGCAAAAACUAGCACUGAGUCCACUUGAAUAUAUCCACCCACAACUUUGGUAGCUCCUUGAAUGUUAUUCCUAUCCACAUUGCUUAGUCUUCCAUUAAUAUAGUUUUGCUGCACUUUACUUCCGUGAGC
rnacentral:lncRNA from 1 species